GACGAACCGUGCGAACGUUAUUCGGAAUCACUGGGCUUAAAGCGCGUGUAGGCGGGACGGCACGUCGGUCGCUGAAAGCCCCCGGCUCAACCGGGGAACGGGCGCCGAUACGACCGUCCUGGAGGGACGUAGGGGGACCUGGAACUUCCGGUGGAGCGGUGAAAUGCGUUGAGAUCGGAAGGAACGCCCGUGGCGAAAGCGAGGUCCUGGACGUUUUUCUGACGCUGAGACGCGAAAGCCAGGGGAGCGAACGGG
rnacentral:rRNA from 1 species